AUUGAACGCUGGCGGAAUGCUUUACACAUGCAAGUCGAACGGCAGCACGGACUUCGGUCUGGUGGCGAGUGGCGAACGGGUGAGUAAUGUAUCGGAACGUGCCCAGUCGUGGGGGAUAACGUAGUGAAAAUUACGCUAAUACCGCAUACGAUCUAUGGAUGAAAGCGGGGGAUCGCAAGACCUCGCGCGAUUGGAGCGGCCGAUAUCAGAUUAGGUAGUUGGUGGGGUAAAGGCCCACCAAGCCAACGAUUUGUAGCUGGUCUGAGAGGACGACCAGCCACACUGGAACUGAGACACGGUCCAGACUCCUACGGGAGUCAGCAGUGGGGAAUUUUGGACAAUGGGCGAAAGCCUGAUCCAGCCAUGCCGCGUGCAGGAUGAAGGCCCUCGGGUUGUAAACUGCUUUUGUACAGAACGAAAAGGUUUCUACUAAUACUAGGAGCUCAUGACGGUACUGUAAGAAUAAGCACCGGCUAACUACGUGCCAGCCGCCGCAGUAA
rnacentral:rRNA from 1 species